rnacentral:rRNA from 1 species
AACUAUGUGCCAGCAGCUGCGGUAAUACAUAGGUCGCGAGCGUUAUUCGGAUUUAUUGGGCGUAAAGCAAGCGCAGGCGGAUGGCUAAGUUCUAUGUUAAAAGCGGCUGCUCAACAGUCGUUUGCAUAGAAUACUAGCCGUCUAGAAUGUGGUAGGAAGUUUUGGAAUUAAAUAUGGAGCGGUGGAAUGUGUAGAUAUAUUUAAGAACACCAGAGGCGAAGGCGAAAACUUAGGCCAUUAUUGACGCUUAGGCUUGAAAGUGUGGGUAGCAAAUGGGAUUAGAUACCCCAGUAGUCCACACCGUAAACGAUGGGUAUUGGGUGUCGGGGCUUGAGCCUCGGUGCUGUAGCUUACGUGUUAAAUACCCCGCCUGGGUAGUACAUAUGCAAAUAUGAAACUCAAAGGAAUUGACGGGGACCUGAACAAGUGGUGGAACAUGUUGCUUAAUUCGAUAAUACACGAAAAACCUUACCAAGGUUUGACAUCCCUCGCGAAUCCAUAGAAAUAUGGUGGAGGUUAUCGAGGUGACAGGUGGUGCAUGGUUGUCGUCAGCUCGUGUCAUGAGAUGUUUGGUUAAGUCCCGCAACGAGCGCAACCCUACUCUUUAGUUACCUUUCUAAAGAGACUGAACAGUAAUGUAUAGGAAGGUUGGGAUCACGUCAAAUCAUCAUGCCCCUUAUGCCUUGGGCCGCAAACGUGUUACAAUGGCGAGUACAAUGUGUCGCAAUCUAGCGAUAGUGAGCUAAUCACUAAAACUCGUCUCAGUCCGGAUAAAAGGCUGCAAUUCGCCUUUUUGAAGUUGGAAUCACUAGUAAUCCCGUGUCAGCUAUAUCGGGGUGAAUACGUUCCCAGGUCUUGUACAC